rnacentral:rRNA from 1 species
ACCACCGAGAAGGUGGGGACUCAGGCGGGACCGCCGGUGACAAACCGGAGGAAGGUGGGGACGACGUCAAGUCAUCAUGGCCCUUAUGUCCUGGGCUACACACGUGCUACAAUGGCCGGUACAGAGCGCAGCGAGGCCGCGAGGCGGAGCGAAUCGCUUAAAGCCGGUCCCAGUACGGAUUGGAGUCUGCAACCCGACUCCAUGAAGUUGGAAUCGCUAGUAAUCGCGCAUCAGCAUGGCGCGGUGAAUACGUUCCCGGGCCUU